UUGAAAGAAGAUAUCAAAGUUUCAGGAAUGAGCAAAUAAUGACCAACUGUCGCUGACAUAAUUGUUAAAAAGAUCAACAACUCUGUUGAAAAGAAUGACCCAAUUGGUAUCACUUUUUCCUCAGUCAUUUGGGUUUCUGUCAAGAAAAUAUAGGUGAUCAAGGUGACACUUGACUGAAAUUGAAAAAAGAUAUCAAAGUUUCAGGAAUGAGCAAAUAAUGACCAACUAUCGCUGAUUUUUUAUAUAAGAAAGUUGGACUUAUAGGAAAUGGAGCUGUUAACAUAUUUUUGAGACAUCACGAAUGUCCCAAUUAUGUCAAAAAGAUCAACAACACUGUUAGAAAAGAAUUACCCAUUUGGUAUCACUUUUUCCUCAGUCAUUUGGAUUUCUCAUCAGAAAAUAUAGGUGGUCAAAGAUAUGAUCAAGGUGACACUUGACUGAAAUUGAAAAAAGAUAUCAAAGUUUCAGGAAUGAGCAAAUAAUGACCAACUAUCGCUGAUUUUUUAUAUAAGAAAGUUGGA